rnacentral:misc_RNA from 1 species
CAAAACACAAGGGCAAACAUUUUACCCUUUGAAUAAGUGAAUAACACCUCAUAAAAGCUUCAUAGAUUAAUUUGCAUUUGUUUUUAUGAUCAAAAUGGCUAUGGAUUAAGCUACACCUUACGAAUGACAUUCUGACACAUCAGUAUCACAAAGAUUAUACAAACCAAAACCAACCUCAUAGGAAACUAUUUAUAUUACAAGCAGCAAUUACAGCAUUGAUAUGGGAAUACGUGCAUAUCAUUCCUAAUCACUUACAACUAAGGUGAAUGCAUGCCAUUAUACAGAGACUCAAUCCAGAAACCCUGUAGCAGGCAAUUUAAGAUUGGUCAAGGAGGUAAAAACUUAAGUUAGCUUGUUAGAAGCUGCUCCUACUGGAAAUGGUAAAUAUCAUCAUUUUCCAUGUCAGCCAGAGAAGUUGCUGCUCCUUCACUUGCCUCGACUAGUUCAGCCUGAAAGAAUAGUUGAAUAACACAUUACUGAGAUUGACCUUCCAAAACUGAUGCACAUCAUCUAGAGAAGAUAAACAUUAUUGCUUUAAAUAAUCAUUUAGUGAUCCAGAUUCUAUCCUGUGCUAAUUGUUGUGACUUCUUUGAGCCGCUUGGUCUUUAGCAGAUAACAAGUGUAAAAACUAAAAGGUAAUUUAAUGCACUGCUUCUUGUUAGUUCCAUAAACUGCAGAAUCAACUGAUGCUCAAGAGACAAGAGGCUUAGACAACACAUUAACCAGUUAGAUCACAGUACAUUUCUCAAAUUUCAUGUCAAUGAAAAUUUGUGAUCUACUUACUUUGGCUUGGUGAUAACGUUCAAGCAUCCGACGAUAUUGUUGACGUGCCUCUAGAGAAUCAACCAUUGACAGCACGCGUGAGACGGCCUCCUCAAUAGCUGCAUCAACUUUUUGUUUGCGGAACACCUUGAGAAUAUCUUCAUCUUCACUUUCAUCAAUAGGCUCUGCCUCAUUCCGGAAACCUCGCAAACCAACCCCUUUACGUCUCCAACGCAGCACAGCCUUCUCUAGAAUUCCAACAGCCCAACAGAAAACCUUGUAGUGCUUCCUAACUUGAUAACCCCUCACAUGAGCCUGUAUCUUCACAACUUUCUGUCGAAACGCUAGAAAAUCCUUGCGACCUUUCCACCCUCUAUAUUUCUUCUGAAUGGAUAAAGCAGCUGAAUUGUAAUCACGUGCAUUGUGAAAGAACAGCUUUGACAUAGCUGAAAGCCCUGGAAUAUCACCGGAAUUGACACCAUAGUCAUCUACAUUAUUAGUAGACACAGCAGCUUCUCUCUGUUGUCGCUUCCUGAAAGAAUGUGCCCUGAAGGCAGCUUGUAUUCGUGCAGCAGCUUGAGCUGCAUUUCGGACUGCAGCCAAGGCAUCUUUAAGUGAAACCUGGUCUUCAUUGACAGCAAAACUCCCCUUUGAGAUGCUAUCUACAGUUAUCUCAGCAUCAACCUCAGCAUAUCCUUUAGAAAGCUCACUCUCUUCUAGUGUAAGGGAUGAAAGAUGGCUUGUUAGUGCCACCUCCGAAAGAUAACCUGCAAGCCCCUUAUGCCCACAGUUGGCCGCAAUGGAUGCUGGAGUUUUGCCAACUGGAUCUUGUGAAGUUGGAUCUGUCACAGCCCCAGCUGAUGCACCAGAAGCUAAAAGGGCUGCAACCAUUUUUUCCCUUCCAAAACGAGCAGCCCAAUGAAGAGCAGUCCAUCCAUUAAUGUCUCGGAAAUUUACAUUGACUCCCUGACUGAGAAUUGGGCUCAAGGCCCACUCAUAGCCCAACCCAGCAACCAUGUGUAUGAUCCCCUGCUCUUUCUUGGACAAGGUACAACUAGGUUGAUCUUGUCUUUCCUGGGACUUGGAAGAAAGCCACUGCUGCAAUUUGUCUUUUAGAAGCUGUUGCAGAAGCCAAUCAACAGUGCCGGUCGAAGUUCCAUUACCAACUAAGAGAGUCUCAAUGAUAGUACCCCAUGAAUCAUUAUCAGUUUUUAAUUUUCUCAGUAGUUGAGUUCCUGUUUCUAUGCUGUCUUCUUUUUGCAAAAAGGAAUCAGACAGAAGCAUCUGCACAAAUCUGACAAGUAACAACAACUCUUCUGGACUCUUAGCAACUUCCAUUUGGGAUAAGCUGCAAUGAGGACAGCUACUCUCAGUUCGAUACUCAAAUUCUCUGACCUCACUGCAAGACUCCCGAUUGCCAGAAGUAAUACAGAAAGUGACCUUUCCUGGAAGAUGGGGAGGAGCUUCACAGCGGAGAACACCUUCUUGAAUGAUUUCAAUGGGAACCUCAGUAUCACCAAACAUGCAAGUCCAUGCACAUUCUGAUGGGUUACAUAGAAAAGAUCCAACAACAAUUACCUUAGUAGCCUCAGAGGUAAAACCCCAUUCUGGGGAUAUUUCGUGGAUUGUAAAUUUUUGCUGUUGUGCAAUGGUCAAACUUGAAUCUGCUUCAAUUGGCACUUCAAGCUGGCCUUGGUCAUAUAGCACUGGAUGGUAGUCAGGAUUGGUUUCAUGAGUUACCAAGACAGGAGAGUACGCAGGAAUUUCAACAUUUUGAACUUCUUGAGGCAGCAAUACAGAAGAAUUUCUGACAUUAGCUCCAUUGAAAUUUAGCCAACGAGAGUACUCAUGCUCUUCAGCUGGUUCCCUCAAAGAAGGCUGUGGCUUUUCCUGGUACUCCACAGAAGAUAACACUCUACAGGGCUCUAACACUUCAUUCCAGGACAUGGAUUCUUUACUCCCAUCUGCAUGCUCCUGUACAGAUUGAUGGUAUUUGCCACUAUCACCUGCAUCCUGAAGGUGAACAAGAUUGUUGAUCUGCAUUUGAAACCCAGGAGGUUCAGCAUAACAUUGCUUAUUCACAAUAUAUUCGGGUCCAUGCAGCAAAUUUUCAUAGUGAUCCUUCUUGGAGAUCUGUUUUUCAAAUUCCAAAAGUUCUGAAUCAUUUUUGGUUCCUUGCUCACUGUAUAAUGGAUCAACUUCUUCGAUGCUGUCCUCAUUCAGACUCAACUGCUCCUCCAGACUUCUCAAAAAUCGACUAACCUCAUCCUUUGCAGAACUAGUAUACCCUGUUGUAGUCUCUAAUCCAUUGUCCUUGGUGCCUAUCUCUGAACUGACUUCUACAGAACUUGGACUGGAUGAAGUCUGACGUGGGUCACAUAAAUCACUAACAGCAGAGGUAGAAUCUCGAUUCUGAGUUGUACGUGAUGUUGACCUUGGGCUGAAAGCAGAAGAGAACUGUGGUGAUGACUGUGCAGCAGAUCCAGGAGUGGACUUUCCCUCGCCAAUCUCUCUAUAAUGAACAAGAACAAUAUGCUGAUAUGCCGGAUCCAGCAUCCAGUAGCUACGUCUCUGAAAAUUUGAGUUUUGUUCUCCAUGUGCAUAAUAACAAUUUAAAGCCUCAACAUUUCCAACCUUAAGUCGCUCAUGUGCUUCCCCAACAGUUCUUCCAUCCUUCUUUUUACGCCAAUUAUGACCAUCUUUGCGAAAGAACCGAAGGACCCUCUUGUUGAAAAGAAACAAUGAUCCACUAGUUGGCUUUUGAGGUGGCUCCUGGGUAAACUGGUACUUGUCAUGGUUUUGCAAUAUAUAGAGCACUUCUGCAGGUUUCAGCCAUCGCCUUUGAGCUUCUUGAAACAGAACAUUAAUAUCAUACCCUGAUUUUGACAUAUCGGAUUCCCAAAAUGAUAGCACCGUACGGAUUGCAGAGAAAUAAAUUCACUUCACUUCACUAGAGCUCACCUGGAGCUCAUAGGCGAACCGGAGACGCUCAUCCUUAAGUUCAAGUAUCGGCAAAAUCUACGAUAAAGCACGAAACAAAGCGAAGCCGCUACAUGUGGAAACCGUCGAGGUCAUGGCCGUAAAGAAGCAUAAUUCCGAGACGAGAGACAAUCCUGUACUGGGUCGGAGUUUAACCGGUUGAAACUCAAAAAAAAAGAUUAUAUACACAAAGAGAGAGAAUCUAUUUAUUUUGAUUCGACUUUGGCCGUACGAUUUGAACGUCUUAACCCGACAGAGUCACAGAACGAAGAAGAAGACGAUGGCUCCAGGUGGGUUUGUGGAAACCAGAAACUGAGAAGCAGCAGGGUUUUAACCUGCUGCUUGCACGUACAAAGGAAGUACUUUAGAAGUGGUGGGG